rnacentral:rRNA from 1 species
AGAUUGAACGCUGGCGGCAUGCCUUACACAUGCAAGUCGAACGGCAGCACGGGAGCUUGCUCCUGGUGGCGAGUGGCGAACGGGUGAGUAAUAUAUCGGAACGUGCCCUAGAGUGGGGGAUAACUAGUCGAAAGAUUAGCUAAUACCGCAUACGAUCUACGGAUGAAAGUGGGGGAUCGCAAGACCUCAUGCUCAUGGAGCGGCCGAUAUCUGAUUAGCUAGUUGGUGGGGUAAAAGCUCACCAAGGCGACGAUCAGUAGCUGGUCUGAGAGGACGACCAGCCACACUGGAACUGAGACACGGUCCAGACUCCUACGGGAGGCAGCAGUGGGGAAUUUUGGACAAUGGGCGCAAGCCUGAUCCAGCAAUGCCGCGUGAGUGAAGAAGGCCUUCGGGUUGUAAAGCUCUUUUGUCAGGGAAGAAACGGUCUUGGUUAAUACCUGGGGCUAAUGACGGUACCUGAAGAAUAAGCACCGGCUAACUACGUGCCAGCAGCCGCGGUAAUACGUAGGGUGCAAGCGUUAAUCGGAAUUACUGGGCGUAAAGCGUGCGCAGGCGGUUAUACAAGACAGAUGUGAAAUCCCCGGGCUCAACCUGGGAAUUGCAUUUGUGACUGUAUGGCUAGAGUGUGUCAGAGGGGGGUAGAAUUCCACGUGUAGCAGUGAAAUGCGUAGAUAUGUGGAGGAAUACCGAUGGCGAAGGCAGCCCCCUGGGAUAACACUGACGCUCAUGCACGAAAGCGUGGGGAGCAAACAGGAUUAGAUACCCUGGUAGUCCACGCCCUAAACGAUGUCUACUAGUUGUCGGGUCUUAAUUGACUUGGUAACGCAGCUAACGCGUGAAGUAGACCGCCUGGGGAGUACGGUCGCAAGAUUAAAACUCAAAGGAAUUGACGGGGACCCGCACAAGCGGUGGAUGAUGUGGAUUAAUUCGAUGCAACGCGAAAAACCUUACCUACCCUUGACAUGUACGGAAUCCUGAAGAGAUUUGGGAGUGCUCGAAAGAGAACCGUAACACAGGUGCUGCAUGGCUGUCGUCAGCUCGUGUCGUGAGAUGUUGGGUUAAGUCCCGCAACGAGCGCAACCCUUGUCAUUAGUUGCUACGAAAGGGCACUCUAAUGAGACUGCCGGUGACAAACCGGAGGAAGGUGGGGAUGACGUCAAGUCCUCAUGGCCCUUAUGGGUAGGGCUUCACACGUCAUACAAUGGUACAUACAGAGGGCCGCCAACCCGCGAGGGGGAGCUAAUCCCAGAAAGUGUAUCGUAGUCCGGAUUGGAGUCUGCAACUCGACUCCAUGAAGUUGGAAUCGCUAGUAAUCGCGGAUCAGCAUGUCGCGGUGAAUACGUUCCCGGGUCUUGUACACACCGCCCGUCACACCAUGGGGAGCGGGUUCUGCCAGAAGUAGUUAGCCUAACCGCAAGGAGGGCGAUUACCACGGCAGGGUUCGUGACUG